rfam:Firmicutes bacterium CAG:882 genomic scaffold, scf239
UUUGGGAAAGGCAUAGAUGUUCUUGAAACUCUGUGUGUUAUACAGCCAAAGUCAGCAUGGAUGCUGACUUAGAUGCCACCGGUCAUGGAUGACCGAUUGGCAUCGUUGGCGGAUGAUUGAAAAUAUGUUUUUCAGAGUUUUUAGAACAUCUUAGCCUUGUACAAU